AACCUCAUGAAAAGGUUGGCUGGA
rnacentral:piRNA from 1 species